CUCUAUCAAUUCACUGGCAAAAUGUCUCUUUGGUCUCUGAGCAUCUAGCUCACAUGAAAGAGGAUAUCUUUCUUCUGUUAUCCAUUCUUUUGCUAUUUUUUUGGCACAGGACAAUGGUUGUGUACCCGCAUAUUUCAAUUUUCCUAGUGACACCAUGGGGAGUUACAAUGUCAGUGUGACAGAAUAGAAUCAUAGAAUGGUUUGGAAGAGACCUUAGAGAUCACCUAGUUCCACGAUGUUCUGUCAUAAACAGGGGCACCAUUCUCUAGAACAGCUCACUCAAGGCCCCUUCCAACCUGGCCCUGGCCCCUGCCAGGGAUGGGGCAUCCACAGCUUCCCUGGGCAACCUGUUCCUCACCACCCUCACAGCUUGGCUAAAGCUGGAAAGCAUUUGCAACAGGAAAAGUGCUUGGCUGCAGUCACAGGCAAGGGGACCACAAAGGAAGGUCUGGAGAGUGACAGGCCAGUGAGCUUCAUCUCAGUCCCUGGAAAAGUCAUAGAGAAAAUCCUGCUGGAAUUCAUGUGGUCUCCGAAACCAUGAAGAUCAAGCUAUUUUACAGAAAAGAGAAGGUAGUAGUCCCAUAUCCAGAGAACUUACUCUUAACUGCAGAUGACAAGCAAAAAAUCAGAGAAGCAGAACAGUGCAGCCAGGAGGAAGCUUAUUUUUCAAAAAUAAUAUGGUAGCAACCGUUA